AGUAAAGUAAGUAAGAGCUUACGGUGGAUACCUUGGCAUUUAGAAGCGAUGAAGGGCGUGACUACCAACGAAAUGCUCCGGGGAGCUGGAAGUAAGCUUAAAUCCGGAGGUUCCCGAAUGAGGAAACUCUAUUAUACUACCUACUGAAUUC
rnacentral:rRNA from 1 species